ACUAAGCGUACACGGUGGAUGCCCUGGCAGUCAGAGGCGAUGAAGGGCGUGCUAAUCUGCGAUAAGCGCCGGUAAGGUGAUAUGAACCGUUAUAACCGGCGAUACCCGAAUGGGGAAACCCAGUGUGACUCGUCACACUAUCAUUAACUGAAUCCAUAGGUUAAUGAGGCGAACCGGGGGAACUGAAACAUCUAAGUACCCCGAGGAAAAGAAAUCAACCGAGAUUCCCCCAGUAGCGGCGAGCGAACGGGGAGGAGCCCAGAGCCUGAAUCAGCAUGUGUGUUAGUGGAAGCGUCUGGAAAGGCGCGCGAUACAGGGUGACAGCCCCGUACACAAAAGCGCAUGUGCUGUGAGCUCGAUGAGUAGGGCGGGACACGUGGUAUCCUGUCUGAAUAUGGGGGGACCAUCCUCCAAGGCUAAAUACUCCUGACUGACCGAUAGUGAACCAGUACCGUGAGGGAAAGGCGAAAAGAACCCCGGCGAGGGGAGUGAAAAAGAACCUGAAACCGUGUACGUACAAGCAGUGGGAGCCCCACCACCAAAGCAUUCUCUGGUGUUGAAGGCCCUGCAAAGCAGCAUCGCGGUGGCGGAGCGUCGUUUGCGACGCCCAACACACAAAACAAGCGGUGAGUGCUUUGGGGUGGGGUGACUGCGUACCUUUUGUAUAAUGGGUCAGCGACUUAUAUUCUGUAGCAAGGUUAACCGUAUAGGGGAGCCGGAGGGAAACCGAGUCUUAACCGGGCGUUAAGUUGCAGGGUAUAGACCCGAAACCCGGUGAUCUAGCCAUGGGCAGGUUGAAGGUUGGGUAACACUAACUGGAGGACCGAACCGACUAAUGUUGAAAAAUUAGCGGAUGACCUGUGGCUGGGGGUGAAAGGCCAAUCAAACCGGGAGAUAGCUGGUUCUCCCCGAAAGCUAUUUAGGUAGCGCCUCGUGAAUUCAUCUCCGGGGGUAGAGCACUGUUUCGGCUAGGGGGCCAUCCCGGCUUACCAACCCGAUGCAAACUGCGAAUACCGGAGAAUGUUAUCACGGGAGACACACGGCGGGUGCUAACGUCCGUCGUGAAGAGGGAAACAACCCAGACCGCCAGCUAAGGUCCCAAAGUCAUGGUUAAGUGGGAAACGAUGUGGGAAGGCCCAGACAGCCAGGAUGUUGGCUUAGAAGCAGCCAUCAUUUAAAGAAAGCGUAAUAGCUCACUGGUCGAGUCGGCCUGCGCGGAAGAUGUAACGGGGCUAAACCAUGCACCGAAGCUGCGGCAGCGACGCUUAUGCGUUGUUGGGUAGGGGAGCGUUCUGUAAGCCUGUGAAGGUGGCCUGUGAGGGUUGCUGGAGGUAUCAGAAGUGCGAAUGCUGACAUAAGUAACGAUAAAGCGGGUGAAAAGCCCGCUCGCCGGAAGACCAAGGGUUCCUGUCCAACGUUAAUCGGGGCAGGGUGAGUCGACCCCUAAGGCGAGGCCGAAAGGCGUAGUCGAUGGGAAACGGGUUAAUAUUCCCGUACUUGGUGUUACUGCGAAGGGGGGACGGAGAAGGCUAUGUUGGCCGGGCGACGGUUGUCCCGGUUUAAGCGUGUAGGUGUGUGUUCCAGGUAAAUCCGGUUCACUUUAACACUGAGGCGUGAUGACGAGGCACUACGGUGCUGAAGCAACAAAUGCCCUGCUUCCAGGAAAAGCCUCUAAGCAUCAGGUAACAUCAAAUCGUACCCCAAACCGACACAGGUGGUCAGGUAGAGAAUACCAAGGCGCUUGAGAGAACUCGGGUGAAGGAACUAGGCAAAAUGGUGCCGUAACUUCGGGAGAAGGCACGCUGACACGUAGGUGAAGUGAUUUACUCAUGGAGCUGAAGUCAGUCGAAGAUACCAGCUGGCUGCAACUGUUUAUUAAAAACACAGCACUGUGCAAACACGAAAGUGGACGUAUACGGUGUGACGCCUGCCCGGUGCCGGAAGGUUAAUUGAUGGGGUCAGCGCAAGCGAAGCUCCUGAUCGAAGCCCCGGUAAACGGCGGCCGUAACUAUAACGGUCCUAAGGUAGCGAAAUUCCUUGUCGGGUAAGUUCCGACCUGCACGAAUGGCGUAAUGAUGGCCAGGCUGUCUCCACCCGAGACUCAGUGAAAUUGAACUCGCUGUGAAGAUGCAGUGUACCCGCGGCAAGACGGAAAGACCCCGUGAACCUUUACUAUAGCUUGACACUGAACAUUGAGCCUUGAUGUGUAGGAUAGGUGGGAGGCUUUGAAGUGUGGACGCCAGUCUGCAUGGAGCCGACCUUGAAAUACCACCCUUUAAUGUUUGAUGUUCUAACGUGGACCCGUGAUCCGGGUUGCGGACAGUGUCUGGUGGGUAGUUUGACUGGGGCGGUCUCCUCCUAAAGAGUAACGGAGGAGCACGAAGGUUGGCUAAUCCUGGUCGGACAUCAGGAGGUUAGUGCAAUGGCAUAAGCCAGCUUGACUGCGAGCGUGACGGCGCGAGCAGGUGCGAAAGCAGGUCAUAGUGAUCCGGUGGUUCUGAAUGGAAGGGCCAUCGCUCAACGGAUAAAAGGUACUCCGGGGAUAACAGGCUGAUACCGCCCAAGAGUUCAUAUCGACGGCGGUGUUUGGCACCUCGAUGUCGGCUCAUCACAUCCUGGGGCUGAAGUAGGUCCCAAGGGUAUGGCUGUUCGCCAUUUAAAGUGGUACGCGAGCUGGGUUUAGAACGUCGUGAGACAGUUCGGUCCCUAUCUGCCGUGGGCGCUGGAGAACUGAGGGGGGCUGCUCCUAGUACGAGAGGACCGGAGUGGACGCAUCACUGGUGUUCGGGUUGUCAUGCCAAUGGCACUGCCCGGUAGCUAAAUGCGGAAGAGAUAAGUGCUGAAAGCAUCUAAGCACGAAACUUGCCCCGAGAUGAGUUCUCCCUGAGACUUAGAGUCUCCUGAAGGAACGUUGAAGACGACGACGUUGAUAGGCCGGGUGUGUAAGCGCAGCGAUGCGUUGAGCUAACCGGUACUAAUGAACCGUGAGGCUUAACC
rnacentral:rRNA from 1 species